UACGGGGGGGGCAAGCGUUGUUCGGAAUUACUGGGUGUAAAGGGCGCGUAGGCGGUUGGAUAAGUCAGCUGUGAAAACCACGGGCUUAACUCGUGGCCUGCAGUUGAGACUGUCUGACUUGAGUGUGGGAGAGGAGAGUGGAAUUCCUGGUGUAGCGGUGAAAUGCGUAGAUAUCAGGAGGAACACCGGUGGCGAAGGCGGCUCUCUGGACCACAACUGACGCUGAGGCGCGAAAGCUAGGGGAGCAAACAGG
rnacentral:rRNA from 1 species